rnacentral:tRNA from 31 species
GGGGCAUUAGCUCAGCUGGGAGAGCGCUACACUGGCAGUGUAGAGGUCAGCGGUUCGAGCCCGCUAUGCUCCACCA